rnacentral:rRNA from 1 species
CCAAUAGCGUAUAUUAAAGUUGUUGCAGUUAAAAAGCUCGUAGUUGAAUUUCGGGGUUCUACCGUUGGUCGGGCAAUUGUCUGUACUGGCGUGUAGAAUUUCUACCUUCUGGGGAACUAUCAUGUUAUUAAUUUAGCGUGGUGGGAAACCAGGACCUUUACCUUGAAAAAAUUAGAGUGUUCAAAGCAGGCUUACGUCUGAAUACAUUAGCAUGGAAUAA